UACGUAGGUGGCGAGCGUUGUCCGGAUUUAUUGGGCGUAAAGCGCGCGCAGGCGGUUGUCUAAGUCUGCUGUGAAAUCUCCCGGCUCAACUGGGAGGGGGCGGCGGAGACUGGGCGACUGGAGGGACCUAGAGGCCGGUGGAAUUCCCGGUGUAGUGGUGAAAUGCGUAGAUAUCGGGAGGAACACCUGUGGCGAAAGCGGCUCACUGGACAAGUACUGACACUCAACUACGAAAGCGUGGGGAGCAAACAGG
rnacentral:rRNA from 1 species